GUCAUUAGAGGAGGUGAGCAGAGCAGGGAGGAGGCUCCGAGGGGGAGAAAUAAAGAAUGUCCAUGCGCUUCUGCCCCUUUCAAGGCUAGUGACAGCCAUUCCCUCUGUGUGCUAAGUUCAGAAGUCUUCAGCCUUAGGCUUUUAAGUCCAGCAGAUGUGCACUCACUCAGAGUGUGACCAGGUCCGGGACAAGGCAGGCUUUUCCUGGUGUGGAGUGGACGACUGUUGAUGAGAGGGUCGUAUGAGGAAGCUGUGACUCUCACCAAGGUCCAGACCAGGCGGUAGAGUUUGAGAGCAGUGAGGAUCACUCAGGGGAUCAGGAGCGGUGACAAGUGACGGGAUGUCAGAGUGCAGCCUUUUUCGGCUAGUGAACCCCUGUUCAUUUGCUCUAUUAUUCAUACUAAAUUUUGAGGCUUUUGACCCCCCUUUCAAUCCUCAUCAGCUACCACUGGGUUGCUCAGUGACAUCAUCUACCCUGGUCUGGUGUCUCCCCCGAUCUUCUCCCCUUUCCCUCUUAUCAGGUGAGGACCGCGGGGCUUCCCUCUCUUACCAGGGUGAGGGGAAGGGACUUGUCUGAGGCCACAUGGAGGGCUCUGUGGGUGGCCUGGUGGGACUGCAGGUUUCAACUGGAGUUUUUAAGAUGGAGUGGCCUCAGGCCACCUCACACCUGGCCAUCAGGAACUGCGUCUGGAGACAAGGCCCUGCUGCACCCUCACGAUGACCUGUGGAGAACAUGGUGGUCUUGGGACGAGCCGCUGAGAUGCAGAAUAUGACACUAGAGUUCUGGUGUUCCCGCUGCGCUUGUUUAUGUGACUCUUCUGUUUUGAAGGGAUCCGCCGUCUGCUGUCCGGCUGCCUUGAGGGGGGUGUGGGUAGGAAAGGCUGACAGCCUCCGCCCCCCUCACAGCUUUCCGAGCGACCCCCUUCAGUGCCGAUUGGGAGGUCAGCUUCUCUUCAGUGUCUCACACUCUGGUGUUCAGCGCAUUUGUGGUGUGACGCCGCGCACAGCC
rnacentral:lncRNA from 1 species